rnacentral:rRNA from 1 species
UACGGGGGGAGCAAGCGUUGUUCGGAUUUACUGGGCGUAAAGGGCGCGUAGGCGGCCACCGCAAGUCGGUUGUGAAAUCUCCCGGCUUAACCCGGAAAGGUCAAUCGAUACUGCGGGGCUAGAGUGCAGAAGGGGCAACUGGAAUUCUCGGUGUAGCGGUGAAAUGCGUAGAUAUCGAGAGGAACACCUGCGGCGAAGGCGGGUUGCUGGGCUGACACUGACGCUGAAGCGCGAAAGCUAGGGGAGCAAACGGG